rnacentral:rRNA from 1 species
AAAGUCGUAACAAGGUUUCCGUAGGUGAACCUGCGGAAGGAUCAUUAUUGAAAUAAACCUGAUGGGUUGUUGCUGGCUCUCUAGGGAGCAUGUGCACACCUUGUCAUCUUUAUAUCUCCACCUGUGCACUUUUUGUAGACCUUUCAGGUCUAUGUUGCUUUCAUUUACCCCAAUGUAUGUUAAUAGAAUGUUGUGCCUAUAUAAUAUAUACAACUUUCAGCAACGGAUCUCUUGGCUCUCGCAUCGAUGAAGAACGCAGCGAAAUGCGAUAAGUAAUGUGAAUUGCAGAAUUCAGUGAAUCAUCGAAUCUUUGAACGCACCUUGCGCUCCUUGGUAUUCCGAGGAGCAUGCCUGUUUGAGUGUCAUUAAUAUAUCAACCUUCUCUUUUUUGAGUUGUUUGGAUGUGGGGGUUUGCUGGCCUCUUAAAUGAUUCAGCUCCCCUGAAAUGCAUUAGCAGAACAACCUGUUCAUUGGCGUGAUAAUUAUCUAUGCUAUUGAAUGUGAGGGCAGUUCAGCUUUCUAACCGUCCUUGGACAAUUCAUCAUUAAUGGACCUCAAAUCAGGUAGGACUACCCGCUGAACUUAAGCAUAUCAUAAG